rnacentral:rRNA from 1 species
UAACUCUGGUUGAUUCUGCCAGUAGUCAUAUGCUUGUCUCAAAGAUUAAGCCAUGCAUGUCUAAGUUCACACUGUUUGAAGGUGAAACCGCGAAUGGCUCAUUAAAUCAGUCGAGGUUCCUUAGAUGACACGAUCCUACUUGGAUAACUGUGGCAAUUCUAGAGCUAAUACAUGCAACUGAAGCUCCGACCUGUAAAGGGAAGAGCGCUUUUAUUAGUUCAAAACCAAUGGUCGUCGGCUUCGGUCGGCGGCGUAACCUUUGGUGACUCUGGAUAACUUUGUGCUGAUCGCAGGGCCUUUGUGCCGGCGACGCAUCUUUCAAAUGUCUGCCCCUAUCAAAUGUCGAUGGUACGUGAUAUGCCUACCAUGUUUGUAACGGGUAACGGGGAAUCAGGGUUCGAUUCCGGAGAGGGAGCAUGAGAAACGGCUACCACAUCCAAGGAAGGCAGCAGGCGCGCAACUUACCCACUCCCGGCACGGGGAGGUAGUGACGAAAAAUAACAAUACGGGACUCUUUUCGAGGCCCCGUAAUUGGAAUGAGUACACUUUAAAACCUUUAACGAGGAUCUAUUGGAGGGCAAGUCUGGUGCCAGCAGCCGCGGUAAUUCCAGCUCCAAUAGCGUAUAUUAAAGUUGUUGCAGUUAAAAAGCUCGUAGUUGGAUCUCAGGUGCAGGCGAGCGGUCCGGCUCGCGCCGGUUCACUGCUCGUAUCUCCUGCCCUACCGUCUGUCGGCUCUCUCCCGUGGGUGCUCUUUACUGAGCGUCCCGGGUGGCCGGCGCGUUUACUUUGAAAAAAUUAGAGUGUUCAAAGCAGGCCUUGCCGCCUGAAUAAUGGUGCAUGGAAUAAUGGAAUAGGAUCUCGGUUCUAUUUUGUUGGUUUUCGGAACUGGAGGUAAUGAUUAACAGGGACAAACGGGGGCAUUCGUAUUGCGGCGUUAGAGGUGAAAUUCUUGGAUCGCCGCAAGACGAGCUACUGCGAAAGCAUUUGUCAAGAAUGUUUUCAUUAGUCAAGAACGAAAGUCAGAGGUUCGAAGA